rnacentral:lncRNA from 1 species
CCCCCCCCCCGAAUCCGUGGGGGGCGAUUAGCUACACCCCCCCAGGCAUGACGCACCCAUCUGCCUGCAGCCCCUGCCCUGUAUAAAUCCGGUGCCUGAUCCCCCAGCCACAACCAGAGCGGGGCAGAAUUUGAGAUGGGGACCCCUGCUGUGCUCUGCAUCUCUCUGGCCCUGUGGGGCUGCUGGGCGAAUGCACCGGGAUCCCUCUGAUGGUGAGAGGCCCCCCCCAGACCCCCCCCUCCUGCCAGCCCCUCCCCAGUGCCCCCUCCUGGCCUGUCUCCUCCAUCCCCACCUAUCGCCACUGAGGUGGCAGAAGCCUGGACCCCCGGAGCCCCCUGAAUGCUCAAAGACAAACGUGGCUGGACCCUGAACAGUGCAGGCUACUUGCUGGGCCCUCGUGCCCCCCUGCGCCCCCCGGCCGAGCGCGGCCUCCAGACCUUGCUGGAUUUCCUCUCCUCCCUGUGUCUUCCAGAGCUGGGGGCCCUGGAUCGUCUGCCCCUCCCCAAUGCCGCUGGGCAGCCCUAGCCCCCCGGUCCCCGCCAAUCUGCCUAUGCCAGGAGCCCCCCCUCACGGUGACAGGCGCACACCCCAGAGCAGUGCCCCCUGCCCUGGUGUGGACAUGCUCAGCCCUCCCCCAUCUGCCCCCCCACCUCGGACACCCCCCCCAUCUCGUGGCCUUCCACGCAGACCUGCCCCCUGUCCUGUUCUGCCGCUGCCAGCCCCCUAGUGUGAUGCCCCCCUGGCCAAGCAAGGGGGAGUCGCCCCCGGGUACCCCAUUCCACUUCCUGCCCUAGUGUGAUUCUGGCAGGGGAGUGGCGGUUAGUGGUUAGAGCGGGGGUGGGGCUGGAAGCCUGGACUCCUGGGUUCUCUCCCCGGCUCUGCGACUGCUUCCGCAUGUGUCUUUGAGGGUACGUCCCUUCUCCGUCACUCAUUGCCUCAGUUUCCCCUCCCAUGGCCCCCCAGAACGCCCUAGUCAUCAUGCGGCAUGGGGGACAGUGACGGGGCUGUGGACUCCCGGGAGACUCCCCCUCUGCAGUACAGGGCACUUGACACAGCUGCAGCCAGCGCCUCCCCGCGACGCAUCCCGGAGCUGGAUGUCAACCCGACGCUCCCUGAGCACGGCGGCUGGGACCGCCGGCGGCCCGCGACGGAGGGCACAGAUGGGGCCGGGGACCCACGAGUCCUGCGGGGAUCCUGGGGGAACAGACCCUCCCCAGACUCAG